GGGUAACCUACCUAUAAGACUGGGAUAACUCCGGGAAACCGGGGCUAAUACCGGAUAAUAUUUUGAACCGCAUGGUUCAAUAGUGAAAGACGGUUUCGGCUGUCACUUAUAGAUGGACCCGCGCCGUAUUAGCUAGUUGGUAAGGUAACGGCUUACCAAGGCGACGAUACGUAGCCGACCUGAGAGGGUGAUCGGCCACACUGGAACUGAGACACGGUCCAGACUCCUACGGGAGGCAGCAGUAGGGAAUCUUCCGCAAUGGGCGAAAGCCUGACGGAGCAACGCCGCGUGAGUGAUGAAGGUCUUCGGAUCGUAAAACUCUGUUGUUAGGGAAGAACAAAUUUGUUAGUAACUGAACAAGUCUUGACGGUACCUAACCAGAAAGCCACGGCUAACUACGUGCCAGCAGCCGCGGUAAUACGUAGGUGGCAAGCGUUAUCCGGAAUUAUUGGGCGUAAAGCGCGCGUAGGCGGUUUCUUAAGUCUGAUGUGAAAGCCCACGGCUCAACCGUGGAGGGUCAUUGGAAACUGGGAAACUUGAGUGCAGAAGAGGAGAGUGGAAUUCCAUGUGUAGCGGUGAAAUGCGCAGAGAUAUGGAGGAACACCAGUGGCGAAGGCGGCUCUCUGGUCUGUAACUGACGCUGAUGUGCGAAAGCGUGGGGAUCAAAC
rnacentral:rRNA from 2 species